rnacentral:rRNA from 1 species
UACGUAGGGGCUAGCGUUAUCCGGAUUUACUGGGCGUAAAGGGUGCGUAGGUGGUUUCUUAAGUCAGGAGUGAAAGGCUACGGCUUAACCGUAGUAAGCUCUUGAAACUGGGACACUUGAGUGCAGGAGAGGAAAGUGGAAUUCCUAGUGUAGCGGUGAAAUGCGUAGAUAUUAGGAGGAACACCAGUAGCGAAGGCGGCUUUCUGGACUGUAACUGACACUGAGGCACGAAAGCGUGGGGAGCAAACAGGAUUAGAUACCCUGGUAGUCCCUGAGCGGG